AUUGAACGCUGGCGGCAGGCUUAACACAUGCAAGUCGAGCGAGCCGCGGACGGGUGAGUAAUGUCUGGGAAACUGCCUGAUGGAGGGGGAUAACUACUGAAAACGGUAGAUAAUACCGCAUCCCAUCAGCUGUGCACAGAUGGGCUUAGCUAGUAGGUGGGGUAAUGGCUCACCUAGGUGACGAUCCCUAGCUGGUCUGAGAGGAUGACCAGCAACAAGUGAACUUGGACACGGGCCAGACUCCGACGGGAGGCAGCAGUGGGGAAUAUGGCACAAGGGGCGCAAGCCGGAUGCAGCCAUGCCGCGUGUGUGAAGAAGGCCUUCGGGUUGUAAAGCACGUUCAGCGAGGAGGCGUUACUCGCAGAAGAAGCACCGGCUAACUCCGUGCCAGCAGCCGCGGUAAUUC
rnacentral:rRNA from 1 species